rnacentral:tRNA from 2 species
GGUAUCUUAGCUCAGUUGGUAGAGCAAUGGACUGAAAAUCCAUGUGUCCCUGGUUCGAUUCCUGGAGAUACCACCA